rnacentral:rRNA from 1 species
AGCGAACGCUGGCGGCAGGCUUAACACAUGCAAGUCGAGCGGGCACUUUCGGGUGUCAGCGGCGGACGGGUGAGUAACGCGUGGGAACGUGCCCUCUGGUUCGGAAUAACUCAGGGAAACUUGAGCUAAUACCGGAUACGCCCUUUUGGGGAAAGGCUUGCUGCCGGAGGAUCGGCCCGCGUCUGAUUAGCUAGUUGGUGAGGUAACGGCUCACCAAGGCGACGAUCAGUAGCUGGUCUGAGAGGAUGAUCAGCCACACUGGGACUGAGACACGGCCCAGACUCCUACGGGAAGCAGCAGUGGGGAAUAUUGGACAGUGGGCGCAAGCCUGAUCCAGCCAUGCCGCGUGAGUGAUGAAGGCCUUAGGGUUGUAAAGCUCUUUUAUCCGGGACGAUAAUGACGGUACCGGAGGAAUAAGCCCCGGCUAACUUCGUG